rnacentral:tRNA from 1 species
GGUUGUGACUCAGAGGUAGAGCGCUCGCCUAGCAUGAGUGAGGCACUGGGUUCAAUCCUCAGCACCACCU